AUGAGGAUCAUAAAACUCAGCUCUGAAACCUUCGUUUCUGUGUAACUGUCGAAUAAAUUAAACUCCCACUGAGACAGGAACAGCGAUGCUCUCUAGGCUCACACAGGACGUGUUGUGCCUGCAUCAAACCACUAUUAUCUCUGUUUGUGCAGGGAUGUGCAUUUUGCAUUGUGUAAUGGUGAGGAAAGUCACUAUUAGUGUAUAUGUGGCUGUGAAUUUUUGCACACAGGCAUAAAUUGUCACAGCUGGUAUGGCGGAGGACCCCAGAAGACAAGCAGGAAGCAACGUGGCAUGCUGAUCUCCUAGAAGGAUGGAGCUGUACAUGCUGUGCUGCUCUCCCACCUGCAUGUCAUCAACUAAGCAAGCCACAGUAUAAAAAGACCAGGAGAGUUCCCAAUUGAUACCAGAUUGUUCAUCUUGGUUGCAGUAGUGCCCCUCCUUGAUGGUAUGCUUCUAUUCCGGUGUCAUGCAAACAUGUCUUCACCUACAAUGAGUUAUGCAGCUGACGGCCUGGUGAUCAGUGUGUGAGAAACUGUGUAAAAUAGGAUUACAAUGACCCUGACUCGUGAGGCCCACUGCCUCAUUUGCUACAAAGUCUCUGCAGCUAUGUCUGACUACAUGAGAAAGUCACACUUCAUUAAUGAUCUUCAGGAGAGGAGGAUGCUGCUCAACUUCUCUUCAGGACAUGUAAAUGAGCACAACAGCCCUGGGUGCACCUACAAAACUGGGUGCCUUGACCAACAUAAGCAGUUUGCCCAUCCUGACCUCUCUGCUGACCUGAGGGAGAGUUACAUGCAGUCAGACAGAAAAGCCAAGACUGUCUCCAUGCUCCAGGAUCUCAGGAAAACAGAGCCUUCUCUUCCCAUGGUCUCUGGUCUUGAUAAUGAUGAUAAAGGCAAUGCCAUCAUUUUCAGAAGGGUGAGCAGGAACCCUAGAAGAGCACAAGCAACACGUACGAGUGGUCCUCCAGAGACUCCUUGAGAACAGUCUCUUUGUAAAAGCAGAAAAAUGUCGUGUGGAUCACAACUCCGGAUUCACUUCCUUCACCUUCGGAGAAAAAAACCCUGAAACCCAGCUACCAGCUGCAUCUGCAAGCUCCAACUAUCCUCCAGCCUGCCCUCUCUCCAACUUUACUGGAAGAACACCUUCUGACCCUCCGGAUCGCUGCCUACGGAUUGUGUCCCAAGAACCCCCCCUUAGAUCAUCUACCUGGAGAUCACAAGCAAGAAAGUCUAGACGACCAGAGAACGCAUUCUUUGGGAGAAUUAAAAUGACAGUUUUUCCUCUUGAGAUAAUUAAACUUUUGAAACUUA